GCAUGGUGUGGAUUUAUGGCAGGCCUGUUUCCCUGGGCCUCUCGUAGUGUCCUGUUAGAACAACCUGUGGCCUGGAACCAUGGCCUGGCCUCUGUUUGUAGGCAGCUGGCACUGAAGUGGGUCACACAGUA